UGUGUGAAAUAGAGUUCAUGAUACAAUAAAGCUGUAAAUUAUGUUUUAAGAUUUUUGAGUGAAGAAAAAAAUUAAAAUUUAUAGAUAAGACUCAAUAUCUUUAUUCCUCCUUUUUUUUCUCUCUCUCUUUUUAUUUUUCCUUUCUUUGAGUUAGGUAGGCUCUUCUGUAGCCCAGGCUGGCCUUGAACUCACGAUAUAGUCAGUGCCAGUCAGUACCUGGAGCUCCUGAUCAUUCUACCUGCAGCUCCUUUAUGCUGGGAUUAUGGGUGUGUGCCGCCAUGCCUGCUGCUCGUUCCCUUGGUUGGUCUUCUCUGUCUCCUUCCUCAGUUUUGGUUCUCGGUCUGCUUCUGUAGAUGCAAGCAAGCCCUGACUCGGGAGUACUCGUCCAGUGUUCUCUAGACACAUACAUACAGAUGCAUGUUUUUAGAGUCUAGUGUAUGCAGCCAGGCAUGCAGAUGUGUGCUAGAGUGUGUGCUCAGGAGGUAGAGGCAAGAGGAUAAAUCGUUCAAAGUCAUAAUUGUCUAUAAAAUAAGUUCAAAGUCGGCCUGGCUCACAUGGUAACCUGUCUGCCAAAAAAAAAAAAAUUAUUUUAGGGAUAUUCUUGGCUAAAAAUAAGGGAUUGGACUCAGGUUGUCAGGCGUGGCAGGAGCGCCUUUUCAGCAGAGCCGUUCCAACAGCCUGUGUUUUGGUUCUUUGAGGCAGGGUCUCGUGUAGCCCAGGCUGGCUACAACUUGCUGUGUAACUAAGACUGACCUUGAACUCUUGUUCUUCUGGCCUCUACCUUCCAAGUGUUCUGAUUAUAAGGGUGUGCCAUCCUACAGCACCGACUUUCCCUUCCUUAUUUGAGGCAUGACAGUCACCUCUGUUCUCUGAAGGAAACAUCAAAUAAAGUUGUUAUUACUCUCUGAACACAGCCAGAAAUAGAACCUGAAGAAGAAAUCCUCUGUGAGUCUUUCCACUGUUUAAAAAUUUCCCUCUGGAAACAAAACAGCUUCUGUCUGACAGACACAGGCUCUUUGUCUUCAAAUAAACUCUUUUUGUUAUUGUC
rnacentral:lncRNA from 1 species